rnacentral:rRNA from 1 species
UACAGAGGUCUCAAGCGUUGUUCGGAUUCAUUGGGCGUAAAGGGUGCGCAGGCGGUCUGGUAAGUCGGGUGUGAAAUCCUGGGGCUCAACCCCAGAACUGCACUCGAUACUGCUGGGCUAGAGGACUGGAGAGGUGACUGGAAUUCACGGUGUAGCAGUGAAAUGCGUAGAUAUCGUGAGGAAGGCCAGAGGCGAAGGCGGGUCACUGGACAGAUCCUGACGCUCAGGCACGAAGGCUAGGGGAGCAAACGGG